CCCCAAGGACGCCAAACUUGCUUUUCUUAAAACCUUUUUACUUUUUCCAACUCAGAAACAUCACAAUUUGGUUUUCCAUAAUCUGCCGGUUCUGUACCAGCACAAUUAAGAAACUGCAUCUGAAUUGAGCAAGCACGGACUGUUUUUUUCUGGUCAUGAUGCCGUCAGCAAGGCAGUACAGGGAUGUCGGAGUAGCACUGACCUUGACCAUCAGUUAACCUAGAGCUCCAUGGACUCUUAUUCCUGAACUAGAUCGGAUUUCUGCCUCUAAGGACCACCACACCUGUGCCCUUCCUGUGACUUUCCCUGGACAGCCUGUGGGCAGCUGGGGACCAGCAGACUGUCUACAGCGAGCACAGCCUCAGCCUGCAGUGCCCCUGCAGUUGGCAAGCACGGGGGCGGGGGACGGGAGCAGUCGGGGUACCCCCCACAAUGCGUUCAUUCAGCACUAUACCAGGUUCCUUCCCUCCUACCAGUGAGGCCAAGAUGGAGCCCCCGAUCCAGGGGCUGAACUUGCGCUCCAUGGUGCUGUUGCUGGCGAUGAGCUUCAGUCGCAUGCUCUGUGGGAAGAAAUGGGCCAAAGGAAACAGACAUCCUGGAUGUGGAAAGGGGCAGGUU